ACAUUUGAAGUUGUCGUAGCCUAAAGGAUAAGACGUCCGGUCAUUCGUAUAGAUCUAGCGAUGCAACAGUGUUCGAAUACCGCAUUACCAUUUUUUGUAAUGAAAUACGUACUCAACAAAUGUUCACGAUUGACUUCCACGGUGUAGGACUAAUAUCGUGUAAUAAAAAUCAAACCCGCAAAAUUAUCAUUUGCGUAAUAACUGGUGAUAGGACCUCUUCUGAGUCCGCAAGUGUGGGUACGACCACCGGGCCUAUUUCUGACGUGGGGCAGCCAUUGUAACUACAUUACUGAGACCUUAGAAGUUGGGCUCCAGUAACCACUUAACACCAGGUGGGCUGAGCUUGUCCAUCCAUCUUAGCGAUAAAAAAAAAAAGUAAAUGUUCAGUAAUGUUAGAUAGGGGAGCGUCUUCCUACGUAACAUUACAAAAGUUUAAUGUGAUACUGAGUGGUGGGUCAUGAACUUCAACUUUCUUAAGAGCAUAACCAGGAUGCUGUCCAGCAGAGCUUUUGCUUUAAAGAGGCACAUUUAAUUUUUAUUUUUUAUUUCUCAUUCUCAUUCUUCAUUCUCAUUUUUUAUUUCACGUUAUUUUUUAUUUCUCUGCUUAAAUGAUUAUAGUGACCAUUUGAGCUAUUAAAUCCUCAGAAGGGGUUUUUCACAACAUUACUCUUUGGAAUUAUGGAACAACAUACCUUCUUUUUGGAAUUUUAAAUGAACCUGCAAAACCUUCGAUCAACAAUAGUAACUAGAUUUCGGGUCGGUGCAUAAAAUCCGUCUCGUCAAAUAACAGCGCACUUGAAAUGUGAGCUCUUAUUUUGUUUAGUUCACUUCAAACACAGCCAAUGUCAACCCGUCUCACAAUACCGCAGUGUGUAUUCAAAAGUUGCAAAAAUAAGGCCCGAAAAAGCAAUUUAACGGCCGGAAUAUCUUACAUUCGCUUUCCUAGCAAUCACGUGUGCAGAAUGGAUCUCGAUUGUCGCCAUAGAAACAAGAGAUGACUUUUAUAAGCCAGCUAAGAUCUCCGCUUAUUGACACUGGACAUCUUUGCCUUCCGUGCUCACGGCUACUGAAACGUGGCUGAAACAUUGUAAUAAAAAUACCGCGCUUGAAACCGUUUAAA